GGAAGGUGCAAGCGAUAAUCGGGAAUCACUGGGGCGUAAAGCGCGCGUAGGCGGUUAGAUAAGUUGGGGGGUGUGAAAGCCCCGGGGCUCAACCUGGGGAACUGCAUUCGAUACUGUCUGACUAGAGUGUGAUAGAGGGGGCGGAAUUCCGCAUGUAGCGGUGAAAUGCGUAGAGAUGCGGAGGAACACCAAUGGCGAAGGCAGCCUCCUGGAUUAACACUGACGCUGAGGCGCGAAAGCGUGGGGAGCAAACAGGAUUAGAUACCCUGGUAGUCCACGCCGUAAACGAUGUCAACUAGCCGUUGGGAGCACUUUGGCUCUCGGUGGCGCAGCUAACGCGAUAAGUUGACCGCCUGGGGAGUACGGUCGCAAGAUUA
rnacentral:rRNA from 1 species